rnacentral:rRNA from 1 species
UAGGGAAUCUUCCACAAUGGGCGCAAGCCUGAUGGAGCAACACCGCGUGAGUGAAGAAGGGUUUCGGCUCGUAAAGCUCUGUUGUUAAAGAAGAACGUGGGUAAGAGUAACUGUUUACCCAGUGACGGUAUUUUAACCAGAAAGCCACGGCUAACUACGCGCCAG